rnacentral:sRNA from 1 species
CCGAGCGCAGCGAGAGAACGUUGCUUCAGCAACGGCCCGCAGGGCGAGCCACGCAGUGGCGAGUCAUCCUCUAUCACCGACCA